UACGAAGGGGACUAGCGUUGUUCGGAAUUACUGGGCGUAAAGCGCACGUAGGCGGAUUUGUAAGUCAGGGGUGAAAUCCCGGGGCUCAACCUCGGAACUGCCUUUGAUACUGCGAAUCUCGAGUCCGAUAGAGGUGGGUGGAAUUCCUAGUGUAGAGGUGAAAUUCGUAGAUAUUAGGAAGAACACCAGUGGCGAAGGCGGCCCACUGGUCCGGUACUGACGCUGAGGUGCGAAAGCGUGGGGAGCAAACAGG
rnacentral:rRNA from 1 species